GUGCUCAUUUCAGCAGCACAUAGACCAAAAUAGGAACAGCACACAAAUUAGCAUGGUCCCUGUGCAAGGAUGGCAUGCAUGUCUGUGAAACAUUCCAUGAUUUU